rnacentral:tRNA from 1 species
UAGCUUAGUUGGUAAAGGACUCGUCUAGAAUACAAGAGUCGUGGGUUCGAAUCCCAU